UGGGAUGUCAGUUUGGGUAAGUGGCAUGGAAAUGUCUACCGCGGAGGGUGAAAGUCCCGUCCAGCCCAUUCAGGACAUUUCGCACGAAGUUGCUCAUAUGAGUCGCGUAGCUUGUGAAUGCUGCGCUAAGUCGGUGGUAAAUCUCAUCGAAGGCUAAAUACUGGUAGGAGACCGAUAGUGAACAAGUACCGUGAGGGAAAGAUCAAAAGCACUUUGAAAAGAGGGUGAAAAGAACCUGAAACCGUUACGACAGAAGCGUAUUGCGUUGAAUUGAGGGCUGUUUAACUCUUCAGCUGAACGUGAGUUUAGUGUACUGAGUUAAGUAGUUAUCCGUCGUGCCUUUUCUGUGGCUGAUAUUGAGCCGCGGGAGAGGGAGGGAUCCCCUUUAUGGGUGAGGACGAUGGAGUGGCAACGCGAUGCGACCCGUCUUGAAACACGGACCAAGGAGUCUAACAUGUUUGCGAGUUGAAGGGUAGUAAACCUGGAGGCGCAGUGAAAGCGAACUUCUAAAACGGACAGUUUGUGGCGGCAUAAAAUCGUUGAUUUUAGGUCUGACUAAGAGCAAAUAUGUUAGGACCCGAAAGAUGGUGAACUAUGCUUGAGUAGGCCGAAGGCAGAAGAAAUUCUGCUGGAGGGCCGAAGCGGUGCUGACGUGCAAAUCGCUCGUCGAACUCGAGUAUAGGGGCGAAAGACUAAUCGAACCAUCUAGUAGCUGGUUCCCUCCGAAGUUUCUCUCAGGAUAGCGGGCCGACAAUUAUUGUUUUGUGCGGUAAAGCGAAUGAUUAGCGCACUCGGGGGCAUUCAGUCUUCGGUCGAUUCUCAAACUUUUAAUGCGCAAGGGGGCUGCAGCUUAGGUGUGCGGCUCCUCUAAAAAUGUCGGCCUUGUGGGCCACUUUUGGUAAGCAGAACUGGCGAUGUGGGAUGAACCAUACGCGUGGU
rnacentral:rRNA from 1 species